UCAGCUACUGUUACAUGUUCUUUAUGAGCUGCCUCAUCUGUAAGAGCAAUGUUGCAUUUCAUAUCUUCAGUAAGCUCACUGAUGUUUGCAUCAGUGCUCUCAUUGAUUGCUUCAGUGUCCUUCACCUCUUCUGCCGGUAUGUCACUCGCUGAUGUGUUUUCUUCCACCUCAACAGGUUCAGUAUUCUCGAUCUCUUCUAGUUCUGGUUCUUGUGCUCGUGGAAUAUUAACUGUUCCCUCAGUUGCUAUUAUAUGCUCUUCAUGAGCUGCCUCGUCUGCAGGAUUGACACUGCUUGUCACAUCCUCAAUGAGCUCGCUGAUGUUUGCAUCAAUGCUCUCGUUGAUUGCUUCAGUUUCCUUCACCUCUUCUGCUGGCAAGUUACCUGCUGAUCUGUUCUCCUCCACCUCAACAGGUUCAACAUUCUCAAGAUCCUUUAGUUCCGGCGCUUGUGCUUGUGGUAUAUCAACCGUUGCCUCAGCUGCUAUUACAUGUUCUUCAGGAGCUGCCUCUUCUGCAGGAGUAACAUUGCUUUUCAUAUCCUCAGUGAGCUCACUAAUGCUUGCAUCAGUGCUCUCAUUGAUUGCUUCAGUGUCCUUCACCUUUUCUGCUGGCAGGUCACUUGCUGGUAUGUUUUCUUCCACCUUAACAGGUCUAGUAUUCUGGAUCUCUUCUACUUCUGGCUCUUGUGCUUGUGGUAUAUCGACUGUAUUAUCAGCUACCGUUACAUGUUCUUCAGGAGCUGCCUCGUCUGCAAGAGCAACAUUGCUUUUCACAUCUUCAGUAAGCUCAUUGUUGUUUGCAUCAGUGCUCUCGUUGAUUGCUUCAGUCUCCACGGCUUCACUAUCUUUCACCUCUUCUGCUGGCAGAUCAUUUUCUGAUACAUAUGCUUCCACUUCAGCAGGUUCAGUGUUCUUGGUCUCUUCUAGUUCUGGCUCUUGUGUUCGUGGUAUAUCAACUGUUGCGGCAGUUGCUAUUACAUGUUCUUCAGGAGCUGCCUCGUCUGCACACACGAGAUUGCUUUUCACAUCCUCAGUAAGCUUACUGAUGUUUGCAUCAAUGCUCUCGUUGAAUGCUUCAGUUUCCUUGGCUUCAGUGUCCUUCAUCUCUUCUGCCGGCAUGUCACUAGCUGAUAUGUUUUCUUUCACUUCAACAGGUUCAAUAUUCUUGAUCUCUUCUAGUUCCGGCUCUUGUGCUUGUGCUAUAUCAACUGUUGCCUCAGUUGCUAUUACAUGUUCUUCAGGAGCAGCCUCGUCUGCAAGAGCAACGUUACUUUCCACAUCCUCAGCGAUCUCACUGAAGUUUGCAUCAGUGCUCCCAUUGGUUGCUUCAGUUUCCUUGGCUUCAUUGCCGUUCACCUCUUCUGCCGGCAGGUCACUCGCUGAUAUGUUUUCUUCCACCUCAACAGGUUCAGUAUUCUUGAUCUCUUCUACUUCUGGCUCUUGUGCAUGUGGUAUAUCAACUGUAUCAUCAGCUACUGUUACAUGUUCUUCAGGAGCUGCUUCGUCUGCAAGAGCAACAAUGUUUUUCACAUCUUCAGUGAGCUCACUGUUGUUUGUGUUAGUGCUCUCGUUGAUUGUUUCAGUCUCCAUGGCUUCAGUAUCCUUCACCUCUUCUGCUGGCAGAUCAUUUGCUGAUAUGUUUUCUGCCACUUCAGCAGGUUCAGUAUUCUUGGUCUCUUCUAGUUCUGGCUCUUGUGCUUCUGGUAUAUCAACUGUUGCCUCAGGUGCCAUUACAUGCUCUUCAGGAGCUACCUCCUCUGUAAGGGCAACAUUGUUUUGCACAUCUUCAAUGAGAUCGCUAAUGUUUGCGUCACUGCUCUCAUUGUUUGCUUCAGUUUCCCCCAUCUCUUCUGCAGGCAGGUCGCUUGCUGAUCUAGUUUCUUCCACCUCAACAGGUUCAGUAUUCUUGACCUCUUCUAGUUUCGGCUCUUGUGCUUGUGGUACAUCAACUGUUCUCUCAGCUACUGUUACAUGUUCAUCAUGAGCUGCCUCGUCUGUAAGAGAAACAUUGCUUUGCACAUCUUCAGUGAGCUCACUGUUGUUUGCAUCAGUGCUGUCGUUGAUUGCUUCUGUUUCCACGGUGUCAGUAUCCUUCACAUUUUUCGCUGGCAGAUCACUUGCUGAUGUGUUCCCUUCCACUUCAGCAGGUUCACUAUUCUUGAUCUCUUCUAGGUUUGGCUCUUGCGGUUGUGGUAUAGCACCAGUUGCUUCUGUUGCUUUUGCAUGUUCAUCAGGAGCUGCCUCAUCUGCAAGAGCAAUAUUGCUUUUCACAUCAUUGAUGAGCUCGCUGAUGUUUCCACCAGUACUCUCAUGAGGGAUCAUCUCAGUUUCCAUGGCUUCAGUAUCCUUGAUCUCUUCUGCUGGCAGGUCCCUUGCUGUUAUAUUAUCUUCCACUUCAACGGGUUCACUAUUCUUGUUCUCUUCUAAUUCUGGCUCUUGUGGUUGUGGUAUAGCAGCAGUUGCCUCUGUUGCUUUUGCAUCUUCAUCAGGAGCUGCCUCAUCUUCAAGGGCAACGUUGCUUUUGGCAUCUUCAGUGAGAUCACCAAUAUUUGCAACAGGGCUCUCAUAGUAG
rnacentral:lncRNA from 1 species